rnacentral:rRNA from 1 species
CCUACGGGAGGCAGCAGUGGGGGAUAUUGCACAAUGGGGGGAACCCUGAUGCAGCGACGCCGCGUGGGUGAAGAAGCGCCUCGGCGCGUAAAGCCCUGUCAGCAGGGAAGAAACUGACGGUACCUGUAGAAGAAGCCCCGGCUAACUACGUGCCAGCAGCCGCGGUAAUACGUAGGGGGCAAGCGUUAGUCGGAUUUACUGGGGGGAAAGGGGGCGCAGGCGGGGAUGCAAGGCAGGAGUGAAAGCCGGGGGACCAACCCCGGGACUGCGCUUGAAACUGGGUGGCUGGAGUGCAGGAGGGGCAGGCGGAAUUCCUGGUGUAGCGGUGAAAUGCGUAGAUAUCAGGAGGAACACCGGUGGCGAAGGCGGCCUGCUGGACUGCAACUGACGUUGAGGCCCGAAAGCGUGGGGAGCAAACAGGAUUAGAUACCCUAGUAGUC